AUGGCGCGGUCAUCUUCUCCUCUCGUCAACAAGGCUUCGCCCAUCGAGCAGCGCCGCCUGCUCCGCGCUCGACGUUCAUCAAAGCGUGUCACCGCUUUGAGCCCGGAGGCGCUCCUUGAUGCCACCCUCCCUGGCGCCGAGCAACCUGUGCCGGUGGUGCAGCAGGAUGCCGCCACGGCUCUGAAGCGAGAU
rnacentral:rRNA from 1 species